UCUAUUAAGGCCUUAGAUUAUAUUGAUGGCUAAUUUAUCGAUGUGUUAUAAAUAUAUAUAUCAGUUGCAAUAUUAUUGAAUAGUAAUUAGAGGCCAGCGAGAGAAGAGAAAAAAGAGGGAUGAGAGAAAGGAAAUAGCCGGAAAAAGAGGGCGAGCAGGGAAGAUCUUUCUCUGGUGGUUUUGUAGCGAUUUCAUGUGGCUUUAUUCGGUGAGGGAUGACCUUAAUGAACCUACUUGAGAGUACUCCGGUCAGGCGGCAUUUGGAGAGGUUUUUACUUGUUAUUCGGUGGCUUCCACUCCCAUUGGGUGUAGAUCGGCUAAGCUCUAUGGUACCACCUCCUUCUGCAGCAGUUUUGAUGGAUCGGAACUUUCUUAUGGUGCUGAGAGCCUAAUCGACUUGCUUGUUAUUUGCUUUUUCUGGUCUUUUAGUCUCUCCUCUAUGCUUUUGUUUAGUUUGAUUUUGAUUUAGUUUAAUUUUAAUUUUUUUUUUUAUUUUUCCUUUUCGGAAAUGGGAUUAUAUAACCCUCUGUUGUAGUUUUAUGGGUCUUGAGAAAUGCCCUCUAUAUUUUCAUUGAUAAAAAAAAAUUGCAAUAUUAAAUAAUUUUAUCAUCA